CCUAUGUCCUCAAUUUUAUCAUUCUGACCACAGGAAUCGAUGACGCCUAUCGAAAUCCAAAAACGGCUAAUCUCUAAGCUAUCAAACUUAUAAUCCUCAGGAAAAAGGCCACAAUAUGAAAAGCAUUUUUGUAGAUGGAAGGGAAGGUAGUCAUAGCUAAUUUUCAAGGCUGGCAUAAAUCAUGAAGGAACCAUGAAGGAUCAUAAAUCAGAAGCACAAUGAUUUGCUGCAGAAAAGAGCCAUAGUUGAACGACUGGUCAUCAGUAUGUAGCCGGGCAAGUACAAUUAUAUUUGGCUUUGUUUCCCUUCAUUUUUCAUUUUUGGCAUGCUCCAUAAACUUCGUAGUAACAACUAGCUUUGAUUAGCCAGUGUAGUGAAUCGGGCAGGCUCUUCCUUGGCAACGACAUGAAUUUAGGAGAGCUAGUGACAUUUAUUUCUUCAAGAGGCAGAAAGGUGAGGCAAUCCGUGAGGGAGGGAUUGCAUAACUGAAUGUUUGACUCGGUAUUGUUCGUCCUGACUUUUCAGAGCUGUCGCUUGCUCGCUUGCAGAAGCAGAAAGUCAGCUUUGGUGGUCUGGACGGACCACAGUAGUUGCUGCAGAAAUAAGCACAGAUGUUCAGCGGUUACCUCGUCAAUCUUUCUUAGUAGUGAAUCAGGGAAUCAGGGAGGCCCUUCUUAAUUUCUGGCAUUCCUCAUAAAGCUCGGCGGAGCAAUCAUAUACGCGUAACUCUUGCAGUGAAUCAGGGAGGCCCUUCUUGGGCAGCGAUCUGAUUCUAGGAGAUCCACUUAUACGUAAAUUCCCGAGAGAAGAAAGGCAAUGCAGCCCUCGAGGGAUGGACAGCAGCACCCUGCAGCUAAUAAACUGCAGCUUUUGCAGGGAUGUGAGGAGCUGAAGGGCCUGCUCCUGCUCUUCCGUGAAGCUCUCCACCCGCCAAUCACAAACGAAGAUUAAUACCCGGAGGGUAGCGGAGAUGCGGGUGCAGAUGGGAGCAACAAGCACUGCGGAGAUGCUGUCCACCACAAGUCGCACCAGUUGGAAGGAACCUGCGGGCAUUGUUUUGGUCCUUGCCACCUCUGCGAGUAGAUCCGCUGCUAUAGAAUAAGGAUCAGUUUCAUCAUGUCUCGAAUUACAAACCUUCAGACUAUCGAGGUUUGAUGUGAUGAGAGGAUUGAAACCAUCAAUUGUGAAAUUCUUACAAUCUCUUAGUUCUAGUUUGGUAAGAGAUAUCAGAUUUGAGAACAGAGCCAUCGACAGAGUGCUUGACUCAUUCCGAAGAUAGAGUUCCUCGACAUGAGGAGAGAAAGGACUGAUGCCUUGAGCUGCUUCUCCCGUGGACCACCGGGACAAUAGCAUGUUGCAAUCGUCUAUGGAAACUGAUUUGAGCGACAAGUGACUCUGGAAUCCACCUCCAUCUUCCAUAGGUAGAAUCAGAUUUUUACACCCAUACAACCGGACAUGUCUCAGGGAGCUGGAGGGUGGAACCUGCAAUACCACAACCUCAUCGUGAUGCUCACUUGAUGCACCCACAGACAAAUCAGAAAGAGCUGGGAAACAUUUGAACCAAUUUGAUAACGGUUUCCUGGUAACAAUAAAUUCCGAGAGGUGCAGAGAUUGGACUGAAUAGAGCACAAUGUCAUCAUCCAGUCCUCUAAGAAAUGUGUCCUUGCAUCUCAUAAGAUCAAUUCUUCGUAGGGGAUGUAGCUUUUGAAGGUCAGUAAAUGAGAUGAGUGAUGCAUCAGAAAUCAUCAAACGUUCUACUUCACCAAGAUUGUGGAAGGCCAAUUCACCGGGCAUCUUAUAAAUGGACAAAUAUCUGUUUUCAUAGCUCAAGCUGUCCGUUCGGAAAAAAGAUAGCAUGCGAGUGUGAGGAAGGGGAGGCAGGGACAACUUCGGGCAUUCUUGAGUGGAAAGAUAACAUAGAUUAGGGAACCAUAUGGUGUUGUCAUGUGUAGAAGAACUAGAGCACCUUGAGAACGGUAGGGCAGUGAGCUUUGGACAAUUAGAGCACCAGAUUCUUUCAAGCCUUGAGAACAAAUGUGUGUUACCUCCCCCAAUCCACUCCACAAGUUCUGGCAUAUGAUGAAGCUGAACCUCCUUAAGGUGCGUGAAACUUUUCUCUGUAAUGCCACCAAUGAAGUCAGGUCCAAACUGGCAUAUCCCAACAAUAUUUAUCAGACAGAGUUCUCUUAGAUGAUAUAGCUGCCCAAAAGGUGGAAGAGUGGACCAGGAUACACCUUCUAGAUGGAGGGUCUCCAAGUUUUUCAUGCGGAUGUUGCCACAUAGCCAACUAGGACCUGCGGGACCACCAUGAUUAACAAUGCGAAGAUCUCUAAGAUUAGAGUGUGGUUGGAGAUCAUCAAGAAUAUCAUCGACCUUCGACUGGUGCUCUCUACUCCAAAAUAAUCCCAGCUUAAUUAGAUCUCUUUUUGCCAUCAAUCUUGCUUCAGCAGCUUCUUUGCUGGAUCUCACAUUUUCAAGCCCACGUAUACUGAGUUCUCCUCCUAGCUGCACCAGCUGGCCCAACUCUCGUAGUUCAAAUCCAGCACUCUCUUUCUUAACAUCAAAUCCUUUCAACUCUUGUAGAAGCCUCAUUUUUCCAACCUCAGGAAUAUUGGUAUGGAAUUCUUUCCCAGCACCAAAAUGGCAUAAAUUCACAAGGCGGCUUAUGUCUUUAGGCAAAUCACACAUUCCACGCCAGUUUUGAAGGUCCAAAAAUUUCAAGUGAUAAAACCUAGAUACUAUUCUAGGACAGCACAGUUUUAGGUGACUCAAGUGAUAAUAAGGUGACUCAAGUUUUAGGUGCCGAAGGUGGAUAAGCUUUGAAAAGCUGGGUGGCAAAGAAUUUGCGUAGUUCAUGAAUAUAAACAGAACACGGAGGCCCUUUAUCUCCUUAAAUGUUUCUUUCAAAAUAUUCACCAAGCUUGCCCUUCUAUAUCCUCCAAAAAUCAUCAAACUCCGUAAAUUUCCAAUGUCUACCCUUCUCUUCAAUUUAUCCAUUUCUUCACCAAAAGUUUCAUUAUAGUCAUUGGACAUCAAGAUGGAUAGGUGGCGAAUAGAUGGUUGGACAUCAUCAGCUCUAAAACUAGAACAACUGAUAUAGGCACAUUCUUUUGAUGAAACAACCUGUGCAAGCUCAUGCAUCAAAUCAUGCAUUACAUAAUAAUUUUGAUCUCCUUUCAUCAGAAAACCAUUAUCUAACAGUUCAUCCAAAUACUUUGAACCUAUGUCCUCAAUUUUAUCAUUCUGACCACAGGAAUCGAUGAUGCCUAUCGAAAUCCAAAAACGGCUAAUCUCUAAGCUAUCAAACUUAUAAUCCUCAGGAAAAAGGCCACAAUAUGAAAAGCAUUUUUGUAGAUGGAAGGGAAGGUAGUCAUAGCUAAUUUUCAAGGCUGGCAUAAUAUCAUCAUUGUGGGUCUGGUUUAGCCACUCUUUCUUUUGAAGAAUUCCCAUCCAAUGUUCCCGAGAGAAUCUCUUCUUCAAUAAACGACCAACCGUUUUGGCUGCCAGUGGGGAGC
rnacentral:lncRNA from 1 species